rnacentral:tRNA from 1 species
GGGCUGGUAGCUCAAAUCCCCGGACUAGAGCAGCGGCUUACGCAGAUGCGGGUUCGAUUCCCGUCCAGUCCA